AUUGAACGCUGGCGGCAUGCCUUACACAUGCAAGUCGAACGGCAGCACGGGUGCUUGCACCUGGUGGCGAGUGGCGAACGGGUGAGUAAUACAUCGGAACAUGUCCUGUAGUGGGGGAUAGCCCGGCGAAAGCCGGAUUAAUACCGCAUACGAUCUACGGAUGAAAGCGGGGGACCUUCGGGCCUCGCGCGAUAGGGUUGGCCGAUGGCUGAUUAGCUAGUUGGUGGGGUAAAGGCCUACCAAGGCGACGAUCGGUAGCUGGUCUGAGAGGACGACCAGCCACACUGGGACUGAGACACGGCCCAGACUCCUACGGGAGGCAGCAGUGGGGAAUUUUGGACAAUGGGCGAAAGCCUGAUCCAGCAAUGCCGCGUGUGUGAAGAAGGCCUUCGGGUUGUAAAGCACUUUUGUCCGGAAAGAAAUCCUUGGCCCUAAUACGGUCGGGGGAUGACGGUACCGGAAGAAUAAGCACCGGCUAACUACGUG
rnacentral:rRNA from 1 species